GAGCGAACAGACGAGGAGCUUGCUCCUCUGACGUUAGCGGCGGACGGGUGAGUAACACGUGGAUAACCUACCUAUAAGACUGGGAUAACUUCGGGAAACCGGGAGCUAAUACCGGAUAAUAUAUUGAACCGCAUGGUUCAAUAGUGAAAGACGGUUUUGCUGUCACUUAUAGAUGGAUCCGCGCCGCAUUAGCUAGUUGGUAAGGUAACGGCUUACCAAGGCAACGAUGCGUAGCCGACCUGAGAGGGUGAUCGGCCACACUGGAACUGAGACACGGUCCAGACUCCUACGGGAGGCAGCAGUAGGGAAUCUUCCGCAAUGGGCGAAAGCCUGACGGAGCAACGCCGCGUGAGUGAUGAAGGUCUUCGGAUCGUAAAACUCUGUUAUUAGGGAAGAACAGAUGUGUAAGUAACUAUGCACGUCUUGACGGUACCUAAUCAGAAAGCCACGGCUAACUACGUGCCAGCAGCCGCGGUAAUACGUAGGUGGCAAGCGUUAUCCGGAAUUAUUGGGCGUAAAGCGCGCGUAGGCGGUUUUUUAAGUCUGAUGUGAAAGCCCACGGCUCAACCGUGGAGGGUCAUUGGAAACUGGAAAACUUGAGUGCAGAAGAGGAAAGUGGAAUUCCAUGUGUAGCGGUGAAAUGCGCAGAGAUAAGGAGGAACACCAGUGGCGAAGGCGACUUUCUGGUCUGUAACUGACGCUGAUGUGCGAAAGCGUGGGGAUCAAACAGGAUUAGAUACCCUGGUAGUCCACGCCGUAAACGAUGAGUGCUAAGUGUUAGGGGGUUUCCGCCCCUUAGUGCUGCAGCUAACGCAUUAAGCACUCCGCCUGGGGAGUACGACCGCCAAGGUUG
rnacentral:rRNA from 1 species